UUAAAUGGAAAGUAAAUAUCAAGUUGUUAGCAUUAAAGAAAACCCAUUUCAGAGAGCUGGAGAUGUAACAUUCGAGGGACCUUCUCUCUCCUUCACUCUUCCUCACUUUUCUUUCAUUUUCCUUUGUUCCUUUCUUCCCCCUCAUUUUCCUCAUUCUCUCUGUCUCUCCUUCUUUCCUGUUCUCAGAUUCUCAGGCAGGAGAAGCCUUCGUUUCCCUGAGAUGGCUUCUGAACUGCUGCUUUGGACCAGACCUCGCUUAAACUGAGGUUCAAAGCUGUGAAGGGCUCAGGACCAUCCUCUGGCCCUUUCCUCUGGAGCCUGCUCGACAACCCUCCCUGCUGUCAGUGCCUGGAGCCGGGCUGGGCAGAGCCAGGGAAGGUGGCAUCUGCACCCGGAGCACCACGUGCCCUCGCUGCUGUGAGCUGAGAAAUCUCGGAUACAGAAGACUCUCUUUGUGUGCCUAAAAGGAAGUGAUAAUCUGAAGUCCAUGUAAAAACAUUUAAUGGCAAAACCAAGGUAAUGGACAGCAGAGUCCCGUGAACAGAAUGGACAGCAGAAUAGACUCCCAAAGCCUGACUUCUUCUAUCAACACCAUUUUUACCUGAUUCAGUUGGAUUUGGAACAAACAUUUACUCUUUAUCUCCAAAGACAACAUUUGUUGAGCUUUGGGAGUCUCGGUGAAGCCGAAGGUUUAACAGCCAUUCAGAACAGGCCUGGAUGCAGAGCCAACAGCACGGUGUGAUAAUGCCACAGGGCAUCAUGGGUUUAAAUUAUAGGCGCUCUCGACAUUCCUCUUCCUAUAUGGGGACACAGGACUGUGUCCUUCCCCGGCUUCCAUCUGUUCCUUCACUUACUUGCUGUUUCUGCCGUCAGGGUGAGGAUGAGGUUGGAGAGCAGGAGCAGCCCUGGAGUUCAGUUAAUGGAGUUUCCCACUAGGUGGUAGUGAAGAGAAUCGCGUCACAGGUACCGUUACGUCACCUCCAACUCUAAGUUAAAACUGGCUCUUCUCCCUCCCACACGAGAAGGAACAAAGAACGAGGCUGCACAGCUGGACUGGAACAAUCGCUCCGCGCUCUGCGAAGCCCCACACGCACAAACGGCUCCCGUGCAGGAACGGGAGGUGGGAUUAAUUCAAGGGAGCAGACCCAAGAUAAGAUGCUAGUUCUGCAAUUGGCAGAAACACAAUCAGGGACUGAAGAUUUGGCGAUGGCACCAAAGAAACCAAGGGGAGAGAUGAGCGGGAUCAGCGGCUGCCAGUUCCUCUGCCUGGGACUUGCAGGGACGGUGGUAACAUGAAG
rnacentral:lncRNA from 1 species